CAGGAUCCCUGGGGAUAAUUAUUUCAAACUAAUUUACAUUCCUCAGUCGGAGAUCUGGUAUCCCAUCCCAGUUUGUAUUUUCAUUAGUGUAAAUACAUUUCUUGUGUGUGCUGUUGUCUUGUAAGAAAAGGUGGGAGCUCAGAAAAAAAGUAGAUUCUACAAAGUUGCCAGCAAGAAGCGUGUUUUGUAUCUUUGCUGAGGUCUUGUUGGAAGCCAUACAAGUUUAAAGGGACACUCCAGGCACCAAGACCACUUCUGCCCAUUGGAGUGGUCUGGGUGCCAACUCCCACUACCUUUAACCCUGCAAGUGUAAUUAUUGCAGUUUUCAAAAACUGCAAUAUUUACCUUGAAGGGUUAAGUAGACAGCCACUAGAGUACACUUUCGUGUUCAUAGAACACAAAAAAUGUGCUAUGUUGGGAGGUGGAGCCGACCAAGCUAGUGCAUGGCCACGUUUUAAAUCAGCUCCGGCGGCGCCAGACACACAUCCGACCUGAUCAGGCCACAAAACGAAAGAUGGGUCACCCAAAACGAGCUGCAUCAUCCCAGCAAGCCCCCGGCAAAACCCCAUCGGGUAAAUCGAGCGCUUUCACUAAAUAUUUCCGCGUCCGGGCGGACAGUAAUGCGGGUGCACUAGGCCCCAAUAUGGCGGCAGACUCCUCACCUCUUUGUAUGUCCCCCUCCAGCCCGGCAGACUCAGAAAUUUCGG